UAGUAGCAUAUCUAUUUAUAUUUGAAAGGAUUAUCUACUUGGUUUGUCUUUUUUUGCUUCACAAGUAUUAUUUAAUUGAUUUUUUAAAGGAAUAUUUUUUUCUUCAAUCUCCUGAGGGAAAUUUACCCAUGAUUCCACAGUUUUUCCCAGGAUACACUUCUGCAAAGCCCCUCCUAUCUCCUCACUCCCAGGUUUGAGACUACAGGGAGAAGGAGCCAUUUUACAGUCAGCUCUGUGGAAUCGUUUUUUUAGGAUUAUUCCUGCGUUUUAAAACACAUUCCUAUUUUUGUACUGACUACAAUAAUGGAGCCUUUUUCUGACCAGAUUGUGAUGUUCAUGCUGGCUGCAAGCAUGAUGGAGGAAGAAAGUGCUGAUGAACAUCAGGAUCCAGGUCAGCAAAUGUCUGCAUUGGGUGAGCCAGUAUUGCGGGUUUCAUUUCCACGUCCACGCCAGUAUCGCACUAGGCGUGAACUGGAGGAUCUCAGCGAGUUCGAGGUGAUACAAAAUUAUCGCUUAUCGACUCGCGACAUAUAUUCGCUGUACACUCUGUUGGAGGCCGACUUGGAACCUCGGGCACGGACAAAUCGUGCAAUCAGCGGUUUUCAGAAACUGCUGGGGACGUUACAUUUUUUGGCGUCAGGCACAUUCCAGCCUACACUGUCUCAAACAUGCGAUUUUUCACAGUCGACACUGUCGCGCUGUAUAACCCAGGUCAUUAGGGCUUUCCGCAAAUUGACGAUCCAGUACAUCACAUUUCCAGAGACGGACAGCGAAUGUCGUGAGAUCAAAUUAGGCUUUUUCAACAAAUACAAAUUUCCCAAUGUGCUGGGCGCGAUUGACUGUACCCACGUGCAGAUCAGACCGCCACGGAAUUCAGAGGAAUGUUUUCGGAACCGAAAACAGUUCCAUUCCCUGAACGUGCAGGCGGUCUGUGAUGUAAACAUGAGAUUUUUGAACAUUUUUGUGGGAUUUCCUGUAUCAUCUCACGACUCCUUCAUCCUAAGCCAGUCAUCGCUGUUUGACAAGUUCGAAACAGGAAACAUGCCUGGUGGCUGGCUGUUAGGCGAUGCAGGUUAUCCAAACAAACCGUGGCUGUUGACCCCAUUGUCUAAUCCUGUUGGUAGAGCAGAAAAACGUUACCAAGAGACACACAUUGCAUCGAGGCAAAUAAUUGAACGUGCCUUCGGUGUACUUAAAAGCCGGUUUCGAUGUUUAGACACUUCCGGCGGUGCUCUUUUGUACUCACCGUCGAAGGUUUGCGGCAUGGUAAAUGCAUGUUGUAUUUUACACAACAUAUGUGUCGCAAACCGUUUGCCGGUGACUUUUCGUCGCAGUGCUUUCCGACGCGGGAACCGGUCUUCUGCUCUACCGGUGGGUAUGGACGAAGGAGAGGAUUCCCGGCGGACAUUGAUCCAAAAUUAUUUUGCAGUUGCCUAGUUUUACAUCCUGUUGAUGUAUAUCCCCAGGCCAUGUUUGUACAGUUCGUUACCCCGUUUUAUCCUGUUGUUGGGUUACCGCAAAUAUUUGAUCCUUUUAUCCAACUCUACCAUGGGUGACCCUACUGGUGAUGUGGACCUGACCCUCUGCCAUGUAGCAGACAACCCCCCCUCAGGUCCUGCGAUGUAUCUUCCCAAGUGGCGUGGAUGUGAGGAGACACGACAUUUCACCUGAUGUUCCAUGGGUGACCCUACUGGUGAUGUGGACCUGACCCUCCGCCAUGUAGCAGACAGCCCCCCUCAGGUCCUGCGAUGUAUCUUCCCAAGUGGCGUGGAUGUGAGGAGACACGACAUUUCACCUGAUGUUCCAUGGGUGACCCUACUGGUGAUGUGGACCUGACCCUCCGCCAUGUAGCAGACAACCCCCCUCAGGUCCUGCGAUGUAUCUUCCCAAGUGGCGUGGAUGUGAGGAGACACGACAUUUCACCUGAUGUUCCAUGGGUGACCCUACUGGUGAUGUGGACCUGACCCUCCGCCAUGUAGCAGACAACCCCCCUCAGGUCCUGCGAUGUAUCUUCCCAAGUGGCGUGGAUGUGAGGAGACACGACAUUUCACCUGAUGUUCCAUGGGUGACCCUACUGGUGAUGUGGACCUGACCCUCCGCCAUGUAGCAGACAACCCCCCUCAGGUCCUGCGAUGUAUCUUCCCAAGUGGCGUGGAUGUGAGGAGACACGACAUUUCACCUGAUGUUCCAUGGGUGACCCUACUGGUGAUGUGGACCUGAUCCUCCGCCAUGUAGCAGACAACCCCCCUCAGGUCUUCCGGUGUAUCCUUCCUAAGUGGUGUGGAUGUGAAGAGACAGUUCCCUUGAUGUUCCCUGGGCAAUCUACUUACGUACAAUUCAAAUGCAUUACAAAUUUUAAUAAAAACCACAGGAAACUUCUAUUUUUAAAAGUUUAUUGAAGAAAAAUAUUUUUUAAUAAAGUUUGAAAGUUAAUUAAAAC